rnacentral:lncRNA from 1 species
AUGCAUAUGAUGGUGUGCAGCUGCAUUUUGAGGAAGGAGGAUUUCAUAAACUUAGAAAGCUACAUCUCAGGGAAAUGAUGGGACUAAAUUCGUUGAUCAUAGACGAUGGUGUCAUGCCUCUUCUCCAAGAGUUUCGCAUUGGGCCUUCCCCACAAAUGAAUGAGGUACCCUCUGGCAUCCACCAUCUCCGGAAUCUGACAUAUCUUCAUUUCUAUGACAUGCCAAAGGAGUUUGCGCGACAGAUGGAUCCAAAAAAUGGCCAACAUUAUUGGAUUGUUGAACAUAUACAAAAUGUUCGUUUUAGUUACAAGGUCGGACCAAGAUGGCGUGUAUAUGAAAUUCACGCCCUGCGUGAUUCCAACUUUUCUCUUUGGUGGAAUGCUUGAUUCCAACUUGUGAAACCAAGCAUGGGAAUGGGAUAUGCUUUGGUUAAGAGUUGGUUGUUAGCUCUGGUAUCCUAGUUUCUCUUGCAGGUUGACUGGGAGGGGCUCUUUCUCUUCUGUUUUCUUUGUGUCGUCCAAUCGUAUUCCUAGCAUUUUCCUUGUAAUUUUAUUGGUGGUUGCAAUAAAAAUAUCCUAUCCAAUUGAUUUUCUCUAGGAAAAUGAUAAACCGUAUGCUCCUUUUAACCUCACUUUGAUAAUUGAAGUUAAAAUAUUAAAUUUUUACUAUUUUUGAUCUUACCAAUUCUUUACUAUUUUAUAUUCUUUAUAUUAAUUUGUAAUCUCUAACAUAUUUUGUUAAUCAAAGGGUAGAUUUUGUGGAUUAUAGAAAUUUCAUGAAUCAUGAUUGUUUUUUUUUAUUUGCCAAAAAAUUCAUGAAUCAUGAUUGAGCAUUCUCCUUUUGUAUGUCACACAUAUUGAUCCAGCCACAUAUUUUUUGUAUGCACAAUAAUGAAAAUGUGUUAAGCGUUUAACGGUGUAAAUUCAAACUCCGUCGAUAACUAACGUAACAAAAUUUAUCGACAGACAAAAAAAAUAAAAAUUAGGUACAAGAUGUAAAGGUGAGGGCCCACAAAUGCAAGCGUUGGGGAUAGCGGAGUGGAUCCCACGAUUUCAAAAUUAUGGACAGGAGGAACAUUUCUCUCAAACUUGGGCGCUAAAAAAAGUCGUCGUCGUUUUUCCUUUUCUGGCUGAGUUUGCCUUCUUAAACCAACCCGACAUUCUCGGCCCAAACAAAUGUUCAAACCUUUCCGUUACUUCCCUUCACAAAUUUCCAAUUAGGGUUUCACAUUAACCUUGAUCAGAACUUCUACGUACAUAUAUAUACAUAUAUAUAUUUAUAUAUAAUCUCUCUCUCCCUCUGUUUCUGAAUUUUGAUUUCCCGGGAAGGUUUCAAACCCGAUCGUUUCUUCGAAAGUCUCUGAAAGCUUUUCGACAAAACAAAAAUCCAAAAUCUUUGUGAUAUCAAAAAGGAAAUAAAUUUCAAAACGCGCAUGGAAUUGGCUGGUUCAUUUGCCUGAAAGUUGGUUCAGAUAGAGAUGGAGGGAGGGGCGAGAGAGAUGGACGAAGAAUUGCUGGAGUUCGCGAGGGAGGCUUUCGAGGGGGAUGAAAUUGACAUGGACUACGAAUUGAUGCGCCAAAGGUUCUACGAUUUCACUAGGCCGGAAUCCUAUUGGGAGGCGGAGGAGGCGGAGGAAUGGUUCCGGUCCGCCGGAGGCUAUCACCCCACGCGUAAGCGAUUUCCAGAACAUUUGUUUGUUGGUUUCUUAUCAUUGAUAGACAUAUAUUGUGUGGCUGAGAUACUGCCACUUGUAUGCAGAUUAGAGAGUUAGUUAGAAAGUUAGUUAGGUAGUUUGUUUAGAAUAUUGAAAAGGGUAUAAAUACUGAUGUAUGUGGGAUUGCUUAGUAAGUAAGAAAAGUAAUAUACUGGAAGUGUUUGGUUUCUACUUCUCUCUCUAAAUUGCUUGAAUCUCUUCUUCUUCUCACUAUAUUUCUGUAGUUUAAUAUGGUAUCACUCGCCAUUAGAGCUUGAUCAGCUUCUUCGAUCCGAGUCUUCCGCAGCUCCAACACUUCGUCUUCCUCUGAAUUCUUGCUUCUUGUACGCAUUUCUUGAUUGCUUUGACUUCGUCUUCUCUGCUUUCUAGGGUUUAUUGUUUCUGGGUGCUCUGCAACUACGAUCUGGUUGCGUCUUCGUCUUCUUCUAAUAUUGCACUCCAGGUGUUUGAUCCAUUGUUUCAGUGAGUUUCGGCAACGAUGGUAACAGCUUCUCAACUUCAGCUUCUUCAAUCUCCGAUCACUGCUCUAGUUUCGUCGAUUUCUACAUCUGUGAAUGUGAAGUUGGAUGAUUCGAAUUAUCUCACUUGGCAUUUUCAAAUGCAAUUACUGCUUGAGAGUAAUGGAAUUCUAGGGUUUGUCGACGGCACGCAUCCCUGUCCUCCUCGACAUUCCUCACCAUCUGGAGAUUCUGGUGUUAAUUCCUCAAAUUCAACAACUUCUUCUGCUAGUGAUGAGUAUUUGAUUUGGAUAAUGCAUGAUAAAGCCCUGAUGCAGUUACUGACUGCUUCUUUGAGUCCAAUGGCUCUGUCGUGUGCUAUUGGUAGUACAAGCUCUCGGGAUCUCUGGAUUCGAUUGCAAGAACAAUUCUCCACAGUCUCCAAGACUAGCAUAUUUCAGAUGAAGUCUAAUCUUCAAACCAUUAAAAAGGGAUCUGAUUCUGUUGCUCAAUAUUUACAGAAAAUCAAAGAGGCCAGAGAUUAUCUUUCAGCUGCUGGGGUGUAUUUUGUUGAUGAAGAUAUUGUCAUUCUUGCGUUGAAUGGUUUGCCACCAGAGUAUAAUACAUUCAGAACAGUAAUAAGGGGACGUGAGAAUGUUAUAUCUCUGAAGGAGUUUAGGACACAAUUACUUGCUGAAGAAGCUAUUCUGGAAUCCACUGUUAAUGCACCUUUUAUGACUGCAAUGGUUGCUCAUAAUUUACCUCCGAGAGCACCUACUCAAUCCAAUUUUGUGGCUGGUGGUUUCAAGCAAUUCAAUGCUCCCAAAAACAAGGGGAAGGGCCGGUUUCAUCAAAAUAACAGGACUUUUUCAUCCAAGCCGUAUCUUCCUACUCAAACUCAUGUUCUCCAAAAUCCAAGUCCUGGUGUUCUUGGUUCUUUUCCUCAUCAGCAGCACUCCCCUCCUUCUGCUCCACAUCUCCUCUUAUGUCAACUUUGCAAUUGUGGUGGUCAUUCUGCGCCUUUCUGUCCAUCCAAUUCUUCUGCGAAAUCCCGAUGUCAGAUUUGUGGCAGGUUUAAUCACAGUACAUGGUUCUGUUUUUACAAUGACAAGGGUCCCAACUAUAUUGGUGCUGGCAAUGGUUCUUAUCCACAACCAGGGCAUCCAUAUUCUCAGCAGGCUUCUUAUUCACAGCAAGGGUAUUCAUCACAGUUUCCUGCUCCACAACAAAUUCAGUCUCAGGCACCAAUGCAGGCUUUUCAUACUAUGGUGCCACAACCCUCUCCUCCAGCAGCAUCUUCAUCUCCUUCCCAAGUUUGGAUCACUGAUUUCGGGGCAACGAAUCAUAUGACUGCUGAUCUUUCCAAUCUGUCUCUAGCUUUACCCUAUCCCACUAAUGAAGUCAUACAAACUGCCAAUGGUGAAGGUUUGCCUGUAUCUCACAUUGGUAGUACUGUUAUAAAACCAUCUCUCCAUCCUAUAAAAUUGAAUUCUGUGUUAUAUGUUCCCAAAUUAACACAGAAUCUUCUAUCUGUCCAUCGCAUAUGUUUGGAUAAUAAUUGUUGGCUUAUCUUUGAUGCCUUCUGUUUUUGGAUCCAGGACAAGGCCACAGGGAGGGUACUCUAUAAAAGAUUGUGCAGUAAUGGACUCUACCCACUCUCAUCUCUAGCCAAUGUGUCACCUGCUGGUUCUCAAAGCAUUGCUUCAAAUAAAGCCCUCCUUGGUCAGUUGGUUACUUCUUCUACUACCUGGCACAAUAGAUUAGGACAUCCAUCUAAUUCAGUUGUCUCUCUUAUGUUGCAUAAGUCCAAAGUUGCUUUUGCAAAAGACCCAAAUCCUGUUCUGUGUCCUAGUUGUCUUGAGGGUAAAUUCUGUAAACUUCCAUUUGCAUUAAGUGUCAAUAAAUCUGUAACUCCUUUUGAUGUAGUGCAUAGUGAUCUUUGGGGUCCUGCACCUUGUAAAUCUGUGGAUGGAUAUCGGUACUAUGUCACCUUCAUUGAUGAAUGUACCCGGUAUUCCUGGAUUUUCCCAUUGAUGAAUAAAUCCGAUCUUUGUGCCACUUUUAUUGCUUUUCAUGCUUAUGUUCUCACUCAAUUCUCUGCAAACAUUAAAAUUUUGCAAAGUGAUGGUGGUGGUGAGUACAUUAGCAAGUCACUUCAAUCUUUUCUUCUCCAAAAGGGCAUUUCUCAUCAAAAAUCCUGUCCUUAUACCCCUGAACAAAAUGGGAUGGCUGAACGUAAACACAGACACGUUAUUGAAACCACAAUUACUUUGUUGCAAACAGCUAAACUGCCUUCCCAGUUUUUGGUCCUUUGCAUGUCAAACUGCCAUUUAUCUCAUUAAUAGAAUGCCUACUCCCAUUCUCCAUAACCAGUCUCCUUUUGAAGCCUUAUAUGGUGCUGUUCCAGUGAUUCAUCACUUGCGAACGUUUGGUUGUGCUUGUUAUCAUUUCUUAAGACCUUACAAUGCUACCAAACUUCAAGCUAAGACUACAAAAUGUGUGUUUUUGGGAUAUGCAUCCAAAUUCAAGGGCUUCAUUUGUUUUGCAGUUUCUACACAUAAAUUCUUUGUGUCUAGACAUGUGGUAUUUAGUGAACAUGAGUUUCCUUAUAAUGACUUGUUGUCCCGAGCCACCACACCACAAUCUCCUACUUCUGUUCACAUUACUGACCUGUCAUCUCUUCCUGUCGUCCCCUCACAGCCUAUAGUCACUAUACCCUCCUCUCAUACUCCUAUUUCUCCUGAGUCUCCAUUACAUUCCCCUUCUGCUCCCGGGUCUUCAUCCUUCUCACCAACCACGUCUCAGUUUCUUGACCCACCACCCUCUCAUCAGUCCAUUACUGGUGCAGUUUCACCCACUGAUCACAACCCUGUGGUACUUGAACAUAGUCCUGUUACACUACAAGUGGUUCCUUCCAUUCCCUCCUUGAAUAUACACCCUAUGCAGACUAGGAGUAAGAGUGGUAUCAGCAAAAAGAAGGUUCUUUUGUCUGCUCUUGCUACUUCCAUGGAUGCUGAUUUGUCUAUGUGUGAACCCAAAACAUACAAAUCUGCUCUCAAGAGUCCUGUGUGGUUUCAAGCAAUGAAGGAAGAGAUCAGUGCUUUGCAUACUCAAGGAACAUGGAGUUUAGUUCCUUUACCUGCAAACAAGAAUUUAGUAGGGUGUAAAUGGAUUUUCAAACUCAAGAGACAUUCAGAUGGUUCAAUUGCACGCCAUAAAGCUCGAUUGGUUGCCAAGGGAUUUAGUCAAGAACCUGGGCUGGAUUACAGUGAGACCUUUAGUCCAGUUGUUAAACCCACCACAGUGAGGAUUGUUUUAGCACUUGCUGCUCACUUUAAUUGGUCACUUCGGCAACUAGAUGUCAAGAAUGCGUUUCUCCAUGGCAUAUUACAGGAUGAGGUGUAUAUGGAUCAGCCACCUGGCUUUGAGGAUCCCCAGAAUCCUACUUUGGUAUGUCAAUUGCAUAAGUCCCUAUAUGGCUUAAAACAGGCCCCGAGGGCAUGGAAUGACAGGUUUACUUCUUUUCUGCCUAAGUUGGGCUUCCAUAACACCUAUUCUGAUUCCUCCUUAUUUGUGAAACCUGUUGGUGCCAAUAUUGUGAUCUUAUUGCUAUAUGUCGAUGAUAUUAUCAUCACAGGAAGUGCAAUCACUGAGAUUCAGCAGGUCAUUGAUGCUUUAACUUCUGAAUUUGACAUCAAGGACUUAGGUCCUCUUCACUACUUCCUUGGCAUUCAGAUUUCCAAGACUGCCAAGGGGUUAUUUUUGUCCCAACAGAAAUAUGUACAGGAUCUCCUUGUCAAAACAGAAAUGCUUGACUCCAAGCCUUGUGACACACCCUGCUUACCUUCUACCAGGUUACUCAAGGAUGAUGGUGACCCUUAUCCUAAUCCUACUUUAUAUAGGAGUGUGGUGGGUGCUCUUCAAUAUCUAACGUUCACACGCCCUGAUAUAGCUUUCUCUGUGCAUCAAGUCUGUCAGUUUAUGCAAUAUCCUAUGGUCUCUCAUUUCACUGCAGUUAAAAGGAUCCUUCGGUAUUUGAAGGGCACUAUGUCCUGUGGCAUUACCUAUUCUCAAGGGGACUUGGCACUAUCUGCAUUUAGUGAUGCCGAUUGGGCUGGAGAUCCCAAUGAUCGGCGAUCUACAACAGGGUCUGUGGUGUUCCUCGGGCAUAAUCCUAUCUCAUGGUCCUCUAAGAAACAGCAGACAGUGUCCCGAUCUUCGACUGAGGCAGAGUAUCGUGCUUUAUCCUCCACUGCAGCAGAACUUGAUUGGAUUCAACAAAUCCUUGCUUUUCUGCAUUUUCCGAUGUCUGCUCCUCCUGUUUUAUACUGUGACAACCUUUCUGCUAUAGCCUUGUCUUUCAAUCCUGUCCAACAUCAACGGACCAAACACAUUGAAAUUGAUGUGCAUUUUGUUCGAGAGCGGGUUUCUCAGAACAAGCUUGUGGUGCAGUUUGUGUCCUCCAAGGAGCAGUUGCUGAUAUCUUGACCAAAGGCCUCAGUUCUUCAUUGUUCCUUUUUCAUUGUAACAAUCUCAUGUUAGGAUCAUCCAAACAUGAGCUUGAGGGAGGAUGAUAGACAUAUAUUGUGUGGCUGAGAUAUUGCCACUUGUAUGCAGAUUAGAGAGUUAGUUAGAAAGUUAGUUAGGUAGUUUGUUUAGAAUAUUGAAAAGGGUAUAAAUACUGAUGUAUGUGGGAUUGCUUAGUAAGUAAGAAAAGUAAUAUACUGGAAGUGUUUGGUUUCUACUUCUCUCUCUAAAUUGCUUGAAUCUCUUCUUCUUCUCACUAUAUUUAUGUAGUUUAAUAAUCAUGUCCCAAAAACAAUGAAUUUUGGAUCAUCUCCUAUGAUUACCACAUUAAUUAAUGAUCGUUUUCUGCUAAUAAAUUUCAACAUCUACAUGUUUAGUUCAUGCAUUUUAAAUAUGUUACGUUGUUUUAUAUGAACAGAUUAGAGAUUAAUUGAAUUAUAAAUAAUGUAAUUUGAUUAGAUUAAUUUGUUACCACUAACUUUGUAUUUUCUUUGUUUAAUUUGUUUCAAAUCCUUUAGCCUUCCUUGAAAAAUUGUUGAAUUGGCAAAAAGAGAAUCAUCCAGUACCUGUAAAAACCUCUGCGGAAUCGAAAGAUGUUGAAGUUACUAGAUGCAGUACCUUGAAAAAUUGCAUGGAAACGGAGAUCUCUGCAUUCGUAGACGAUAAUGACAAAGGUACAUUCGGCCUCAUCGACUCAUGUCUUAUUAGAUUUUCGACGCAAUGUGAUAGUUCGUUGUAAAAUUACCGCACUUGGAAAAUUUUAUGUCUGUUAUCUGAAUCGACUUUGCCUGAAUUAGUACAUGAAGUUGUAUCUCACUGUUAUGUUUUAUGUUCAUGUUUCGACAUGAUUAGAGUUUUCUAAUCACAUGGCUCAAGACACUCUGAAAACCAAACUGAAGUCCUCGGGUAAGUCACCACAUCUAUUAAGGAGUUCAACGUUAAUGAAAUUCACGGCGAGUCAGUUGGCCAAGCAAAAUCAGCACCGAGAGGUUCACUCCAAUCGGUUAUUAAGGAGGUGCUGUUAUUUUUCUCUGAUGUUUCUGUUGUCAUUAAUGUAUGUUUUGUUCUAAUUGUUUGGUGGUCUAGUUUUCUAACUUGUCCCAUUUUCCGACUCUUGAUUACAGAGUUGCGAAAAAGCUCGAGAAACUCGAUGAGAAAUCACAGAAUUCUCCGCCACCUACGAUGGGCUGCGAAAAUUCGAAGCAAUGUAGCAUAGCACUUUGCAAAUUCGGUAGUGCUAUCACACGUGCAUUCUUACUUCUCACUAACCCCUCUCAAUUUUUCGGCCAUUGGAAAAAUAAGUGUGUAAAUAACACUAUCCUACAAAUUACGCAACCGAAACUAUAACAGAAGAGCGAUUAUAACGUAUUAAAGUACCAUCUCACUAAAUUAUCCAACAAUGUUUCAGAGAUUAGGAACAAUCAUACUACUUUCAGCUCAGUCAUUCCAUCAAACGGCUGGUUCGCUGCAAUUCCACUUAUGCUCAAAUCACUACCGUCCGUUCCUACCAUCGAUUCCAUCAAAUUCUCCGAAACCCAUUUCUCAAUCAAAUCCAAACACAGCUGCAACCACACCCAGAAAAUUAAAAAGUCGAACUUUACAAAACUCCACUCCGAAAACAUAAAUUACACAAAACCCAACAAAAUCUCACCCUGUUCUCGGACAAUCCGACUUGAAUAACCCCAUCCGGAUUAUCCACCCUCUCGUACGGGUCCUCCGAAGCCCUAUCCAACCCGAUAUAGUACGGCGAGUCAUUGGGCUUCGCAAUCCAGCUCGCCCGGGAGGACAUCCGGACCCGGCCCAUGGACCCGCGGGUGGACAAGCUGGACCGCGACAGCGUUCUGGGGAGCUCCGCCAGGUUGGAGGAGGACUGGGAGGGGGAAGGUGGAUCGGGUUUGGAGGGUCGCCGUCGUUUUAGGUAGAGCUGGAGGCAGUAAUAGAGAGCACAUGGGAUUAGAGAGGCGAGGAUGAGGCCGCCUCUGCCUUGGACGACGCCUUGGAGUGGCACAAUCAGUCUCAUCGCGGUGACUCCGGUGGGCUUGUUUCGGGUUGGGUCGGAGUCGGGUUGGCCGGUCCAGGUCUCGAGCUGCAGUGGGAGGGUUUCGGGUUGGCCGUUGGUUGGCGUGGAGGGAUUGAGUGAGAUUCGAGAGCCCUGCGAGGGAAGUGUGUGUUUUGCAGUUUCGCUACCAGAAACUUUUGGUCUGGUUAUGAUUGGCACCUGCCAGUUUCCAUCUUUGCAUCUUUUGUUGGUGGCGUGCAAACACCAUCGUCGUAUAAUAACAAAAAAACGAUUUCAUUCUUUUUGGGGCUAAAGAUGUAAUUUUGAAUCAAAUGCUUUUCUUAUCAUAUUUUUUUAUACCGUAACCGUUAUCUAAUAAAGAUAAGAUACAUAUGUGUGUAGACCUUACUUUUAUUAGAGAAAUUGAGAAUUUUUACUGUGCUCAAAACAAUAGUUGUACCAUAUGUCCUGGUGCAAAUACUAAAUAUUAUUCUGUGUUUCGAGCACAUUAAAAAAUCUCUCGGAUCACAUUGUGUUUGGACCUGAUUUUACACAUCGGCCUAAGCAAUCGAGGCCGUUGAGUAAGCAUGGUUCUCAACCGUUGGAUAAGAAAGUUUAGAUAUUAUUGUUAAGAGAUAAUAUUAUGAUUUUUAAUCAUAAUAAUUAUUUUUUUAAUAAGUUAUCUCGGUUUUUAUGCAAAAUAAAUGGGAUGGAGGCAAGUAGAGUUGUGAUGGGGACGUGAGCUUUGAAUCAGGUUGGUUUGUUUUGCUGGACAUGCAUGCAUGGGAUGUAAAGAUAAUGAAGUGAUAGGGGAUAAAUCCAAACAUGCCAAAACGUGUAAUUUGCAAAAGAAUUGUGCAAUAUGGAGAUUCUAUCCUAAUGCAUGGUUUUUUGGGAUUGGUUUUGUGCACGUGGCAUGCGACAAUGGAGAUGAUGGUUUUGCAUGGUGAUGGCAAUAUGGGUUUAAAGGUUUCUCAUGUUUUUUAAUAAGAAGCCUAGGUGGGUUAGAUCUCUAGUGAGAUGUGAUAAAGCCUAGGUAGGCUUUAUUUAUCUGAAGGAUAUGUGCGGCGUAUUUGAUACGGGAUCAGGGUUUAUCUGAAGGAUAUGCGCAGCGUAUUUGAUACGGGAUCAAGGUCAAUUCCACAAAAUAGAGUUGCAGUUGGACUCUACAAAAUUAUUUGGCCGCGUCACACAACAUUUGCUCCUAUAAAUAUAGAGGUAGUGGCAACGGAAGAAGGACCCCUGCAAAUCAAUACAAAAUUGCCCUGCGCAAAUUCUCACAACUUGUGAUUUUUCUUUUCCCUUUUUUCGCUGACACAUCUUCCGUUGGCAUCAACAGCACUGUGGAAGCAACCGGUGAUAUCUUAAGUCGGCAUAGAUAGCUCUGUCACCGUAGAAUCAGUCGGUCUCGCAAUACUUUCCGUUGGCAUCAACAGCACUGCGGCGAGAACGACCGAUUACCUAUCCAAGUCUCGGUCGAGAAGGAUUUCUGAAUCCUUAUUGGUCGAGGUCAUCUCAUCAGCCUUCUCGGCGAAGUGAGGUGUUACGAGUUAUUACAUUCGGCACAUUGAGGGCCGAAUUUGAUAUUGAACUUCGUGAGAAUAGUAACCUUGUCUUCAGGUUCGAGAGCCCAAGAGGCCGAGACGUGUUCCUUUCUUGGCCGCAAUCGCAAGACGCAGAAGUCAGUAGCGCGACCCAACGCAACAUCAACAAAUUUACUCCUCGGCCGAGCUCGGCCGACGAGUUGGCACGCCCCGCAUUCACCGAAGGACGUAGUUAGCUUAUUAAUUACUCGGCCUGCGCGCCACGUAGGCUUGGUAGUUUUUAGGGUCAACAUUUUGGCACGCCCAGUGGGACCCAGUGCUAAACUACGAAGUUCACAUGAUCUAUCUCGAUCCGGCUUCAAGGGAUGAGUGUUAUCGCCUAUUAAAGGAGCAAAACAACUUCUCGAGAGUUUGAGAAGAAUUUCUGAAAGGCAAGAGGCCGGGGGGCAAAUCUCCACUCCGGCCACAACCAAUAUUCAGCCUAAGAAAAGUGAUAAUUUGGCCGAAGAACAAAGGCCACUUGUUGUUUCGGUAGAGACUGAAAAUAUAGUAGGCCUAGAAGAAAAAAUUCAAGUCCCUAAGCUAUAUACAAAAAUUGACUUGGAAAAAGAUUCGUCAAAAGAACGCUCCAGUGACGAACGAGGCCGAGAUAUUGGCCUAGCCCGAGAAACUACGCCAAUUGAUAUGAUUAUUGGCAAUAAAGCCGAUAUGGAGAAAUCCUGUUCGGCUAAGUUAUUUGAAUUAAAAGCCGAAAUUAUGCCUGGGGGGCAUAAUAAUUGUUCAGCGCAUUCGGCGGCCGAUAAAAAAUCUUUCGUCAAGUCAAACAUAUUUGGAGAUAGUAUUUUAUUCGGCCUUGCAAAAAUUCAAAGUGAAAGUUUUGAUACAAAAAGCCUUCGGCUUGGAAUAAAACAUCGUUGGCCUCCUCCAUUUAUAGUAGGGCCACUUUUGUUUUCUUUUGCUACAAAAUAAGAAUAAAUUAUUUUCUUAACCAUUCGGCUUUUUAGGCCGAUGCUUAAGAAAAUAAAGGGGGCAAUAAGAUGGUGCGGACUUAGAAAAACAAGAAAAAACAAGAUGGUGUACUCGGCAGACAAUUUUGGUCAAAUAAUGGUGUACUCGGCAGACAGUUUUGGUCGAAUGAAUUUGCGAGAGCAUGCAUGACAAUUGCUCGGCAGACAGUUUUGGUCAAAUGAAUUUAUGGGAGCAUGCAUGGUUGCGAAGCUUGCUCAAUUCAGUUUCGAUGUGCGGUUUAAUAUAUAUAUGUGUGUGUCAGAAUGACCCAUCACAUGAAACAGAAAGAGAGACGCAUACGGAAAAGACAAAGGAAAAUUCAUGAAGUUAUGGUAGGCUUCCACAUGGGCUAACCUUUUCGUUUGGUGAUGUAGUGAUCUGUGAAUUCCUAACAGCAUUAUUUGGCCGAAUACAAAUCUUUGGCCGAAUAAAACAUAGUUCGGCCGAAUAUAAUGGGUUAUAUAUAUAUAUAUAUAUAUAUAUAUAUAUAUAUAUAUAUAUAUAUAUAUAGGCUCUACAGCCAGUUCUUCUCGGUCUCAGCCCUAUUUACUCUCGACCCCAGUAUUUUUGACCGAUACUAGUGUUUUCUCGACCCCGGCAGUUGAGAGUUGGAGUAGUUCACGACACUGGCAGAGGGAGGUUAUGACAUUGGCAGAACAUAGGUGAUUUUAAUGCCGAGAGACAAAAUUUGUUUCGGCAAUACGACGAAGUGUUGUUGGCUACGAGCAAUUAAUUUCCUUAACCAUUCGGCUUACGAGCCGAAGCUCACGGAAACUAGGGGGCAAUGUUUGGACCUGAUUUUACACAUCGGCCUAAGCAAUCGAGGCCGUUGAGUAAGCAUGGUUCUCAACCGUUGGAUAAGAAAGUUUAGAUAUUAUUGUUAAGAGAUAAUAUUAUGAUUUUUAAUCAUAAUAAUUAUUUUUUUAAUAAGUUAUCUCGGUUUUUUAUGCAAAAUAAAUGGGAUGGAGGCAAGUAGAGUUGUGAUGGGGACGUGAGCUUUGAAUCAGGUUGGUUUGUUUUGCUGGACAUGCAUGCAUGGGAUGUAAAGAUAAUGAAGUGAUAGGGGAUAAAUCCAAACAUGCCAAAACGUGUAAUUUGCAAAAGAAUUGUGCAAUAUGGAGAUUCUAUCCUAAUGCAUGGUUUUUUGGGAUUGGUUUUGUGCACGUGGCAUGCGACAAUGGAGAUGAUGGUUUUGCAUGGUGAUGGCAAUAUGGGUUUAAAGGCUUCUCAUGUUUUUUAAUAAGAAGCCUAGGUGGGUUAUAUCUCUAGUGAGAUGUGAUAAAGCCUAGGUAGGCUUUAUUUAUCUGAAGGAUAUGUGCGGCGUAUUUGAUACGGGAUCAGGGUUUAUCUGAAGGAUAUGCGCAGCGUAUUUGAUACGGGAUCAAGGUCAAUUCCACAAAAUAGAGUUGCAGUUGGACUCUACAAAAUUAUUUGGCCGCGUCACACAACAUUUGCUCCUAUAAAUACAGAGGUAGUGGCAACGGAAGAAGGACCCCUGCAAAUCAAUACAAAAUUGCCCUGCGCAAAUUCUCACAACUUGUGAUUUUUCUUUUCCCUUUUUUCGCUGACACAUCUUCCGUUGGCAUCAACAGCACUGUGGAAGCAACCGGUGAUAUCUUAAGUCGGCAUAGAUAGCUCUGUCACCGUAGAAUCAGUCGGUCUCGCAAUACCUUCCAUUGGCAUCAACAGCACUGCGGCGAGAACGACCGAUUACCUAUCCAAGUCUCGGUCGAGAAGGAUUUCUGAAUCCUUAUUGGUCGAGGUCAUCUCAUCAGCCUUCUCGGCGAAGUGAGGUGUUACGAGUUAUUACAUUCGGCACAUUGAGGGCCGAAUUUGAUAUUGAACUUCGUGAGAAUAGUAACCUUGUCUUCAGGUUCGAGAGCCCAAGAGGCCGAGACGUGUUCCUUUCUCGGCCGCAAUCGCAAGACGCAGAAGUCAGUAGCGCGACCCAACGCAACAUCAACAAAUUUACUCCUCGGCCGAGCUCGGCCGACGAGUUGGCACGCCCCGCAUUCACCGAAGGACGUAGUUAGCUUAUUAAUUACUCGGCCUGCGCGCCACGUAGGCUUGGUAGUUUUUAGAGUCAACACAUUGUUAAUAAGCUCUUCAAUUCAAGUUUUCCUUUCUCACGGUAUCGAUAAUAUACCAAUGAAUCCACUUAUAUAUAUAUAUAUGUAUGUAUCUUCCCAAGUAGAGGGUAUAUAUAUAUGUGUGUGUGUGUAUCCUCCCAAGUAUACCAGCACUCCUUAAAUUAUUGAACAUUGAAUCAGAACAAGUCUGCAAUAUGAUGGAUUACACAUGUCAAUGGUUGAGACAAACGCUGACUCAUCACAUCACUCUUGUGUGUGUGUAUCUUCCCAAGUAUACCAUCACUCCAUAAAUGAUUGAACAUUGAAUCAGAACAACUCUGCAAUAUGAUGGAUUACACAUGUCAAUGGUUGAGACAAACGCUGGCUCAUCACAUCACUUUCAUAGAUUAGAGGCAGAUUUUCUGCCCUCCUAUUUGGAUCCCCUUCUCAUUCCAUUCUAUUUUAUGUUGUCACGAUUAAACCACGUCAAUAUUUUAUAUUGAUUUUUUUUAUAGAGAUAAUAAAACAAAAAGCAAUAUGAAUAUAAAAUGUUGACGUAACUUAACUGUGAUCACACAAAUAGAAGGGAAUGAGAAGGGUACCCAAACAGGAGGGCAGGCAACCUGCCUCCUCAUAGAUUCGGUCUCCUUGCAAUCUAGAAAGCCAUCUGCAACCUAAGCAGAAAUAUUCCACCACAAUUUAUUCGUGCUCUCUGUUGAUAGGGCGUUGAUAGGGCGUUUAGAGCAGUUGCCAAGUUGGAUUUCAAAUCUUCAACACCUCGUCAUAUUGGGUAUUUGUUGGUCAAGGUUGAGAGAUUCCCCACUAAAAGCCCUUCAAAAUCUACCUAAUCUGUUGGAGCUAUUUUUGAAAAUCAAUGCAUAUGAUGGUGUGCAGCUGCAUCUUGAGGAAGGAGGAUUUCAGAAGCUGAGGCAUCUGGAACUCAAGGACAUGGAGGGACAAAAUUCAUUGAUCAUAGACAAUGGGGUUAUGCCUCUUCUCCAAGAGUUUCACAUUGGACCUUCCCCACAACUGAAGGAGGUGCCCUCUGGCAUCCACCAUCUCCGAAAGCUGAGAUAUCUUGUUUUCUUUGACAUGCCAAAGGAGUUUGAACGACAUAUGGAUCCAAAUAAUAGACUGCAACAUUGGAUUGUUGAACAUAUACAAGAUGUCCGCUUUAGUUACAAGUUCGGACCAAGAUGGGGGUGUAUACGAAACUCACGCCCGACGUGAUUCCAACUUUUCUUUUUGGUAGAAGAUUCCAACUUGUGAAACCAAGCAUGGGAAUGGAAUGGUCUCUUUUUGUACAGUUUUUGGUUAGAGAGGUUUAGGGGUUGUUAAGAGUUGGUUGUUAGCUCUGGUAUCCUAGUUUCUCUUGCAGGUUGACUGGGAGUGGCUCUUUCUCUUCUGUUUUCUUU